rnacentral:rRNA from 1 species
UACGGAGGGUGCAAGCGUUAAUCGGAAUUACUGGGCGUAAAGCGCACGUAGGUGGCUGAGUCAGUCGAUUGUGAAAGCCCUGGGCUUAACCUGGGAAUUGCAGUCGAUACUACUCAGCUAGAGUAUGGGAGAGGGUAGUGGAAUUCCCGGUGUAGCGGUGAAAUGCGUAGAUAUCGGGAGGAACAUCAGUGGCGAAGGCGGCUACCUGGCCCAAUACUGACACUCAGGUGCGACAGCGUGGGGAGCAAACGGG